rnacentral:rRNA from 1 species
GAAGAAGGCGGGCGGCGUGCUUAACACAUGCAAGUCGAACGGAAAGGCCCUGCUUUUGUGGGGUGCUCGAGUGGCGAACGGGUGAGUAACACGUGAGUAACCUGCCCUUGACUUUGGGAUAACUUCGGGAAACUGGGGCUAAUACCGGAUAGGAGCUCCUGCUGCAUGGUGGGGGUUGGAAAGUUUCGGCGGUUGGGGAUGGACUCGCGGCUUAUCAGCUUGUUGGUGGGGUAGUGGCUUACCAAGGCUUUGACGGGUAGCCGGCCUGAGAGGGUGACCGGCCACAUUGGGACUGAGAUACGGCCCAGACUCCUACGGGAGGCAGCAGUGGGGAAUAUUGCACAAUGGGCGGAAGCCUGAUGCAGCAACGCCGCGUGCGGGAUGACGGCCUUCGGGUUGUAAACCGCUUUCGCCUGUGACGAAGCGUGAGUGACGGUAAUGGGUAAAGAAGCACCGGCUAACUACGUG